UACGUAGGGGGCAAGCGUUGUCCGGAAUUAUUGGGCGUAAAGAGCGUGUAGGCGGCCAGGUAGGUCCGUUGUGAAAACUUGAGGCUCAACUUCGAGAUGUCGACGGAAACCAUCUGGCUAGAGUCCGGAAGAGGAGAGUGGAAUUCCUGGUGUAGCGGUGAAAUGCGCAGAUAUCAGGAGGAACACCCGUGGCGAAAGCGGCUCUCUGGGACGGUACUGACGCUGAGACGCGAAAGCGUGGGGAGCGAACAGG
rnacentral:rRNA from 1 species